GGAAAUUAUCAGUACCCAGACACUUGGUACUGUUUUUGCCCCCAAACAAAAAUUAGCCCAGUACUAAAUCAUUAUUCCCUUUCAGCAAAAUGUUUAUUUGCAAGAAGAUUUUGUUUUAUUUAUUAUUUCUCAUCAUCAUGCAGAAGAAAAGAGUGACCUGCAAGCCAACAGAGAAACAAAUUAAUUUUGCUUUCCCCCUUCUCCCCGUCCUUUGCUCACUGUAAUCAAUAGACCUUUUUCUGUAAUAAAACAUAAGCCUUAUUCAGUUCUUGAAAGAAAUGCCCUAACCUGAACAUUCAGUCAAACUCGCAAUUAAAUUUAACUAAGACAUUUCACAGGCUGACAUCUUUUACCUCUAGGAUUUAGAAGAACCAGAUUCCAAUGCCAGCUACACUUCUAAUUAGCUAUGUCACCAGGUGCAAAUAAAUCAGACUUUGCAGACCUCGGUCUUUUUAUCUGAGAAAUGACAAGGCCGCAUACAAUAAUUGCUAUGCUCCCUUACUAUUUAAAACUGAUUCACUUCUAAGUUUCAUUCUUGUUGGAAAUAUAUCAUCAUCUUUCCCAGCUAUUUCUCUUUCUCUGGUGUUAGAUACAUUAUUUCAUUUCCAUCUUCAUACAGUUCAAUAACUCAGCCCGUGGUUAUACUCUUCAUGAGAUUCCAAUUCUGCCCUUACCUUUGUCAUAUUACUGACUCUUUCUUCUAGUACACACAUAACACACUGUGUUUGUGUCGACUCUGACUUCAGCUAGGCAGAACAAACGAACACAGAACCCACUGAAAGAUGCUUUAAGAGAUGUGCAGGCUUUGAGGAACUGCAGGCUUUAAAGAAAUGCUUAUGUAAGGCAUUUGUUCAUUCAACUUUGCUCAAACCAAAACAGCCCAUAUUUACAGUGCUCUCAGCUCUCUUUCAAAUUGUGUUGGUUAUUAGUCCUAAAUAGUAUCUAAAGCCAGAUUAACCACUCAAGCAAUCAGUCUGAUGGAUGUUUCCCUACAUUAAUUCACAUACAUAGACAUUUAAUGUUCUCCCCACAAUUUCCCAUGUUUCCUCCUGUUUAGUCACCAUGACAAUCAUGUCGGAGAGCUUCGCAGCAGGUUAGACCAUCCUCAUUUUACAGAGGAAGAAAACUGGAGCUCAGAGAGGGCAGGGGACCUGCCUGAGUCCCUCAGAGAAUUGUAAGGAAGAUCUAGCUCUCCUAACACCAAGCUGCCACUGAAGAAAUCAGUCUGGUUCUUGUUUGUUUUUGUCGUUUUUUGAACUUGCAUAGAAGUAGAGCCAGGCCCACUCUUGUUAUCCCACAAAUGGGCUUGCUGCCUGACAUGUAAAGAAGCCAAUACUAUGGCACUGGAUUUUGAGAAAAGAAAGGCUUUAUUGUGAGGUCAGCAAGGACACAGGAGGUGCAAUGAGAGUGUCUCCCCGAUUCGGGGACUAGAGCAAGUUUUAAGGAGUUGGAAGGCAAGGGAAAGGAUUUAGGAAUGUUGGCUUGGUAGGGUCUGAUGGGAGGGCUUCAAAUUUGACUAUUUAUGGUAAGGUAUGUUGAAACAGAAUAUAGCCCCAGAUUUUCCCGGUUAAUGGACCCUUCACUUCUGAAAAAGUUUUGACAUUCAGGUUCUCCUUAUGUCCCAGUCUUCUUGGUUCUGUGGGGAAGGAAUCAUUGGUUCCAGGUGUUGUUGGAGGUCAAGUCUUUUUCUAUUACACAUGCCUAGGCUACAUGACUUGUGGUA
rnacentral:lncRNA from 1 species